UACGUAGGUGGCAAGCGUUAUCCGGAAUUAUUGGGCGUAAAGAGCGCGCAGGUGGUUGAUUAAGUCUGAUGUGAAAGCCCACGGCUUAACCGUGGAGGGUCAUUGGAAACUGGUCGACUUGAGUGCAGGAGAGGAGAGUGGAAUUCCUAGUGUAGCGGUGAAAUGCAUAGAUAUUAGGAGGAACACCAGUUGCGAAGGCGGCUCUCUGGACUGUAACUGACACUGAGGCACGAAAGCGUGGGGAGCAAACAGGAUUAGA
rnacentral:rRNA from 1 species